CCUACGGGAGGCAGCAGGGAGGAAUAUUGGUCAGUGGGCGGAAGCCUGAACCAGCCAAGUAGCGUGCAGGAUGACGGCCCUAUGGGUUGUAAACUGCUUUUAUGCGGGGAUAAAGGGGCCCACGUGUGGGUUUUUGCAGGUACCGCAUGAAUAAGGACCGGCUAAUUCCGUGCCAGCAGCCGCGGUAAUACGGAAGGUCCGGGCGUUAUCCGGAUUUAUGGGGUUUAAAGGGAGCGUAGGCCGCCCCUUAAGCGUGUUGUGAAAUGCGGGUGCUCAACAUCCGACUUGCAGCGCGAACGGGGGGGCAUGAGUGCGCCGAAAGUAGGCGGAAUUCGUGGUGUAGCGGUGAAAUGCUUAGAUAUCACGAAGAACUCCGAUUGCGAAGGCAGCUUACUGUAGCGCAACUGACGCUGAUGCUCGAAAGCGUGGGUAUCGAACAGGAUUAGAUACCCCUGUAGUC
rnacentral:rRNA from 1 species